GGACCAAAAACCUAGCCUACAUCACUUUAUGUCAAAACUUCUCUAUAUAGACAAGAUAAAACAUUUUAACUUCAUAGUAGAGGUGAUCAAAAAAUACUUAAGCGCCUAAGAAAUAGUACCGAGAGGGAAAGAUGAAAUAAAAAUGAAAUAAAUUUUAAGUCAACUAAAGCAGAGACUACCACUCGUACCUUUUGCAUCAUGGUCCAGCCAGUCUGACCAAGCAAAAUGAAGGUUUAAGUUUGCACCCCCGAAACUAAGCGAGCUACUUCAAAACAGCUUCAAGAGCCAACCCGUCUCUGUGGCAAUAGAGUGGGAAGAUUUUCAAGUAGAAGUGACAGACCUAACGAGCUUAGAGAUAGCUGGUUGUUCAGAAAAAGAAUUUUAGUUCUGCCUUAAAUUUCCUUAUGUUAUAAAACAAACUCAUAAAUUUAAGAGUUAUUCAAAUAAGGCACAGCUUAUUUGAAACAGGGCACAACCUACACAUCAGGGUAAACUAUAAAUCACAUAUAAAGUGGGCCUAAGGGCAGCCAUCUUUAAAAAAGCGUUAAAGCUUUAUUUCUUACAUUACCUAAUCCCAAACCCCUAAAUGAACCCUAACCCAAUACUGAACGACCCCAUAAACAUAUGGGAAACAUUAUGCUGGAACUAGUAACAUGAAUUUUCUAUUCUCCAAAAUGCAAGUAUAAGCCAGAAAGGAUUAACCACUGGCCAUUAACGAAAAUGAAAAAACUAUAGUAACACAACAAGAAAACCCUAUAAUAUCUGCCGUUAACCUUACACCAGAGCAUUUCCGGAAGAUUAAAAGAGAAAGAAGGAACUCGGCAAAUUUCAGCCCCGCCUGUUUACCAAAAACAUCGCCUCUUGAAAAACUAUAAGAGGUCCAGCCUGCCCAGUGAUAAAUUAAACGGCCGCGGUAUCCUAACCGUGCGAAGGUAGCAUAAUCACUUGUUCUUUAAUUAAGGACUCGUAUCAACGGCAUCACGAGGGUUGUACUGUCUCCUUUCUCCAAUCAGUGAAACUGAUCUCCCCGUGAAAAAGCGGGGAUACACCAAUAAGACGAGAAGACCCCAUGGAGCUUUAAACCUUACAGCAACUCUGCCAUACAAUCCUUUAUAGCCCUCAGAGUUAUGCAUGUUAGUUUUUGGUUGGGGCGACCGCGGAGUAAAAACCACCCUCCACGACAAAAAGAGCUAAAUCUUUAUCUAAGAGCCACCGCUCUAAGAAUUAGAACACUAAUGUACCAUGACCCGAUAAUCGAUCAACGAAUCAAGUUACCCUGGGGAUAACAGCGCCAUCUACUUCAAGAGUACAUAUCGACAAGUGGGCUUACGACCUCGAUGUUGGAUCAGGGUAACCAAGUGGCGCA
rnacentral:rRNA from 1 species